rnacentral:rRNA from 1 species
GACGAACGCUGGCGGCGUGCUUAACAUAUGCAAGUCGAACGAUGAACCCGGAGCUUGCUCCGGUGGAUUAGUGGCGAACGGGUGAGUAACACGUGGGUAACCUGCCCUUGACUCUGGGAUAACUGCGGGAAACUGUAGCUAAUACCGGAUACGACCCUCGGCGGCAUCGCCAGGGGGUGGAAAGAAUUUCGGUCAAGGAUGGACUCGCGGCCUAUCAGCUAGUUGGUGAGGUAACGGCUCACCAAGGCGACGACGGGUAGCCGGCCUGAGAGGGUGACCGGCCACACUGGGACUGAGACACGGCCCAGACUCCUACGGGAGGCAGCAGUGGGGAAUAUUGCACAAUGGGCGCAAGCCUGAUGCAGCGACGCCGCGUGAGGGAUGACGGCCUUCGGGUUGUAAACCUCUUUCAGCACCGACGAAGCGCAAGUGACGGUAGGUGCAGAAGAAGGACCGGCCAACUACGUGCCAGCCGCCGCCGUAA